rnacentral:rRNA from 1 species
UACGUAGGGCGCAAGCGUUGUCCGGAAUUAUUGGGCGUAAAGAGCUCGUAGGCGGUUUGUCGCGUCUGCUGUGAAAACUCGGGGCUUAACUCCGGGCCUGCAGUGGGUACGGGCAGACUAGAGUGCGGUAGGGGAGACUGGAAUUCCUGGUGUAGCGGUGAAAUGCGCAGAUAUCAGGAGGAACACCGGUGGCGAAGGCGGGUCUCUGGGCCGUAACUGACGCUGAGGAGCGAAAGCGUGGGGAGCAAACAGG